CCUACGGGGGACAGCAGUGAGGAAUAUUGGUCAAUGGGCGGGAGCCUGAACCAGCCAAGUCGCGUGAGGGAAGACGGUCCUAUGGAUUGUAAACCUCUUUAGGCGGGGAGCAAUGCCGGGCACGCGUGCCCGGAGGGAGAGUACCCGCAGAAUAAGCAUCGGCUAACUCCGUGCCAGCAGCCGCGGUAAUACGGAGGAUGCGAGCGUUAUCCGGAUUUAUGGGGUUAAAAGGGGGCGUAGGCGGAUUUUUAAGUCAGCGGUAAAAUGUCCGGGCUCAACCCGGGCCGGCCGUUGAAACUGGGGAUCUUGAGUGGGCGAGAGGUAGGCGGAAUGCGUGGUGUAGCGGUGAAAUGCAUAGAUAUCACGCAGAACUCCGAUUGCGAAGGCAGCAUACCGGCGCCCGACUGACGCUGAGGCACGAAAGCGUGGGGAUCGAACAGGAUUAGAUACCCCAGUAGUC
rnacentral:rRNA from 1 species